UUUAUGAUUUUAGAUUUGGCCUGCUCUAUGAUUUUAAAUGGCUGCGGUAUUUUAACUGUACUAAGGUAGCAUAAUAAUUUGUCUUUUAAUUGGAGGCUAGAAUGAAUGGUUUGAUGAGAAACUAGCUUUUUUUAAUUAAUAAUUUGAAUUUGAUUUUUAAAUCAAAAAGUUUAAAUUUUUAUAUAGGACGAGAAGACCCUAUAGAAUUUUAUUAAAUUUAUUUUAUUAUAUUUUUGUUUUAUUUAUUUUUAAUUUUUAUAAAUUUAAUUUUGUUGGGGUGAUGUAAAAAUUAUUUUGACUUUUUAUUUAUUUUACAUAAAUUAGUGUUUUUUGAUCCUAAAUUUUAGAUUAUAAGAUUAAAUUACCUUAGGGAUAACAGCGUAAUUUAUUUGGAGAGUUCAUAUCGAUAAAUAAGUUUGCGA
rnacentral:rRNA from 1 species